UAAUCGCAGAUCAGCAUGCUGCGGUGAAUACGUUCCCGGGCCUUGUACACACCGCCCGUCACACCAUGGGAGUCGGUAACACCCGAAGUCGGUAGCCUAACCGUAAGGAGGGCGCCGCCGAAGGUGGGAUUGAUGACUGGGGUGAAGUCGUAACAAGGUAUC
rnacentral:rRNA from 1 species